GACGAACGCUGGCGGCGUGCUUAACACAUGCAAGUCGAACGGAAAGGCCCUGCUUUUGUGGGGUGCUCGAGUGGCGAACGGGUGAGUAACACGAGAGUAACCUGCUCUUGACUUUGGGAUAACUUCAGGAAACUGGGGCUAAUAUCGGACAGGAGCCCCCGCUGCAUGGUGGGGGUUGGAAAGUUGCGGCGGUUGGGGAUGGACUCGCGGGUUAUCAGCUUGUUGGUGGGGUAGUGGCUUACCAAGGCAUUGACGGGUAGCCGGCCUGGGAGGGUGACCGGCCACAUUAGGACUGAGAUAGGGCCCAGACUCCUACGGGAGACAGCAGUGGGGAAUAUUGCACAGUGGGCGGAAGCCUGAUGCAGAAACGCUGCGUGCGGGAUGACGGCCUUCGGGUUGUAAACCGCUUUCGCCUGUGACGAAGCGUGAGUGACGGUAAUGAGUAAAGAAGCACCGGCUAACUACGUG
rnacentral:rRNA from 1 species